AUUGAACGCUGGCGGAAUGCUUAACACAUGCAAGUCGAGCGGGGUGUAGCAAUACACCUAGCGGCGGACGGGUGAGGAAUACAUAGGAAUCUGCCUCAGAGCGGGGGACAGCCCGGGGAAACCCGGAUUAAUACCGCAUGAUGUCGCAAGACCAAAGUGGGGGACCGCAAGGCCCCACACUCUGAGAUGAGCCUAUGUCCGAUUAGCUAGUUGGCGGGGUAAUAGCCCACCAAGGCGACGAUCGGUAGCUGGUCUGAGAGGACGAUCAGCCACACCGGAACUGAGACACGGUCCGGACUCCUACGGGAGGCAGCAGUGGGGAAUAUUGGACAAUGGGCGCAAGCCUGAUCCAGCAAUUCCGCGUGGGUGAAGAAGGCC
rnacentral:rRNA from 1 species